AUUUUAAAGUGGAGCAAAUCCUUUAUUUUGAAAAAAAAUCGAUGAAAAAGCCUAAUUUACGCAGAUAUUUUUCCAGUAUUUCUUCAUAGUUCCACUCAGAAUAAAACGGAGGAGAAUUAAUUUAACUUCUUGUAUAAAAAUGUAUAUUCCACGGGACGCUUUUGAGCUCAAGCCUCAAGGAAUUGGAUGAUGAUGUCAUGAAUAUUCAAGGUGUAAAAAAGGUCUUUCAUGGAUUUACGCAGAGAGGGUCGCUGUAUGAUCACUCCAAUUCAGAAUCAUAAGAAGAAGCUACUGAUUAAAGAUCAUCGCGAGAAACACAUCCCAAAACGCGACCCUCGACACGACGUGAAAUAAUCUCCAGCGAUAAUGCAGCGGAUAUUAUGUUCUAUCAAACUUCAUUCUAAUUCUUGAUCGCAAAGAAUCAGCAUUACUUCUUCUGCAUUGGCGCCAUAUGUGCCAGACUCGAUGAAUAUACGACAUAAUGAUUGAUUAGAACUCGUGCCGUUUGAAGUACAUGUCUAUUGUGAUGAAAAUGAAGACGCAAUGACUUUUUAUCCCCGUUGUAAGCUUAUCAAGUGGAAUACAAUCGAUUCUGAACACUUUGUUCCCACGAUUAAGGGAUUCGUUAUUUUCACCACAGGGAAGUUCCGUCGUCUAAAAUUCACUGGUGACCCGGCUGUGAGGCCGCUACGUUGGAAUGAUAAACGGUUUUCGGAUAAUUUUCAGUUCUGACCAUUGUGCAUUACUUCAGUACAAAGUGUUACAUAAAUUAAAUUCCAUCUUUGGCUUCUCUAUUGAAGAUUAUAACAACGUUAAAUAUGAACUAAUUAAACCGAUCACAUGCGCCAGAAACCUGGACCCUGUUUGAUGCAUGUAUCAGAGCAUGUAUCUUCUUCAGAACUUCUUCACUUCAGCAAAUUCCGUCAGAGAUU
rnacentral:lncRNA from 1 species